ACUCUUGUAGCUCAGUGGUAGAGAAUCUGCUUCGUAUGUAGAAGAUUCCUGGUUCAAUAACCAGCAUCGCCAGGUAGUA